GACGAACGCUGGCGGCGUGCUUAACACAUGCAAGUCGAACGUGAAUUUUAUGGAAUAGCCUUCGGGAUAGGAAAUAGAAUGAAAGUGGCGAACGGGUGAGUAACACGUGAGCAACCUACCUUACACAGGGGGAUAGCCGUUGGAAACGACGAUUAAUACCGCAUGAGACCACAGAACCGCAUGGUAAAGGGGUCAAAGAUUUAUCGGUGUAAGAUGGGCUCGCGUCUGAUUAGCUAGUUGGAAGGGUAAAGGCCUACCAAGGCGACGAUCAGUAGCCGGUCUGAGAGGAUGAUCCGCCACACUGGAACUGGAACACGGACCAGACACCUACGGGUGGCAG
rnacentral:rRNA from 1 species